rnacentral:ribozyme from 12 species
UUGAAGGAUACCUGGAAGCCAGGUGAGCGGAGUACAAGAAGGAAAAAAAAACAUGGAAAAUUUUGAUUUUUUUUUUUAACUUUUUUUC